rnacentral:lncRNA from 1 species
UCAGAGGCCACGCCCUCUAGGAACUGCCCCUUGGUCACUUAUGGGCCCUGGGUACAAGCCGGAGCCGGCCCCGACAUCUAUCUCUCCGAGCCUCUCUGCACUCAGAAGAUGCUUGCCCCAAACUCAGACUUCAUAAAGAUCAAAAGAUCCCUGCGUUCGGGUUCCAAAGACGCACAGACCUUAAUUGCGACACCCAACCUAUCUCGGAGCGAGUUCACUUCAGAGAGAGAACGAAGACCGGGUUCCAAGGGAGGAGGGGAGACGCUGGAAAGAGCCGGGAACCAGCUGGGUGGCCUCAGAGGAAGACGAGUGUGGUCUCGGGAGUGAGAACACCACCCUGCUCUCACCAGCGCAUCAGAUCUCGGCAGCACGGCCCCGCAUGCUCCCCUGACCGAUGUCCAGAGGUCCCCAGUGUUGAACCCUUCCGGGGAAGGAGAGCUCAUUACCACAGAAAGAAAGGCGGCCCGUGCAACCUUGGAAAGUCACUUUUCCUCUCCAAACC